GGUGGCUCCUUCCUGGCUGUGGCUCAGGAAGCAGAGCCUGGAGCGUCUCCACCAUGGCCUGGGCUCCACUCCUCCUCACCCUCCUCGCUCACUGCACAGGGUCUUGGGCUGAGGUUGUGUUCACUCAGCCCCAUUCUGUGUCGGGGUCUCCGGGGCAGACGGUCACCAUCUCCUGCACCCGCAGCAGUGGCAGCAUUGACAGCAGCUUUGUGUACUGGUACCAGCAGCGCCCGGGCAGCGCCCCCACCACUGUGAUCUACAAUGAUAACCGAAGACCCUCUGGGGUCCCUGAUCGGUUCUCUGGCUCCAUCGACAGCUCCUCCAACUCUGCCUCCCUCACCAUCUCUGGGCUGAAGUCUGAGGAUGAGGCUGACUACUACUGUCAGUCUGAUGACAGCAGCGGUUAUCACACAGUGCUCCAGCCUCAUGGGGAAGUGAGACAAAAUCUCCCCAGAAUGUCCCUACCUUGAUCUGCCCUCAGCCUGUCCCCACCAGUGAGGGCUGAAUUUUCCUGUCCCUGCUUGAACUUUGGAGUUAAACUUUUGUUUAUAGUUCCUGUAUUUUCUUUCCAAAACACAAAUAUUUUCUCCCAAGACUUGACGGGUGAUCCUCUAAUCCCUUUGUGAUUACUUCAUGGAACACACGUAGUUCAAAACUGUGUUUCUAAACAGCAGUGCUCUUGACACUGUGGGCUGGAUCAUCCCUUGUGAUGAGGGAAGCUCUCUGCAUUACAGUUCAUUUAGAAACAUCUUUUGUGUCCACAAGUCAGACGCCAGUAGCAACUUGCUCCCUGUCAUGGCAAACAAUAAUGAAUCACUAUUUCCCUAUAUGCCCAGGGAGGGUCACACUAGUUUGAAAACAGGAGAAUGUGGAAAAGCUGCAUCUAUUAAGAAGGCUUUGGCAGGGAAUCCCAUUCGUACCAUUCAGCUGGACAUGAGGCUGCAGGCAUUAGCUCUCUGCUUCUGCUUUCCCAUCUGGUAGGAAAACAGGUGCCUAGAACUCAAAUUACGGUCUCCGUGGAUGGAUCAUGUUCUGCGCAAAAUGGGGUCAGAAAAUCCAUUACCUAUUCAAAUGGAAUCUUCUCUCACCCACUGUGGAGUAUAACUUUUGGCAAACCAGAUGUGCCAUAAAUACUUAAAAUUUUUAGAGAAAGCUCAUGAAAAUAUAUAGACCUAGCUUUAUUUAUUCUUCCAGGGAGUACUUUUCAAGCACAGGAUAUAAAGAUGAAAAAUAAUCUAACACAAGUUCUUGUACCGUCGGAGUUUAGAUUUUAGAAUAUAUGAGAUGACAAGAGCGGUGACAGAGCUGAGUGGACAAUGAUGUCCUUCCUUUUCCCAUAGGGCUGGAUCAAAUUUGGUCCCACCUCUAUUUUUUUACCCUCGAAUCUACAGUGUCCAGUACACCCCCACUAACUACAUGUGGAUGUCUAAAUUUAAAUUACCUAAAUGAGAUUAAAAAUUAUAUUUCUCAGUCCCA